AAGGGAGAGUAAUACAUAGGUACGUACCCUUGGGACUGGGAUAGCGGCGGGAAACUGCCGGUAAUACCAGAUGACGUUUCCGAACCAAAGGUGUGAAUCCGCCUGAGGAGCGGCCUAUGUCCUAUUAGCUUGUUGGUGGGGUAACGGCCUACCAAGGCAAAGAUGGGUAUGGGGUGUGAGAGCAUGCCCCCACUCACUGGGACUGAGACACUGCCCAGACACCUACGGGUGGCUGCAGUCGAGAAUCUUCGGCAAUGGACGCAAGUCUGACCGAGCGACGCCGCGUGCGGGAUGAAGGCCUUCGGGUUGUAAACCGCUGUCGUAGGGGAGGAAAUUCUGGUGGGUACUCCCAUCAGAUUGACUGAUCCUAGGAGGAAGGACCGGCUAAUCUCGUGCCAGCAGCCGCGGUAAUACGAGAGGUCCAAACGUUAUUCGGAAUUACUGGGCUUACAGAGUUCGUAGGCGGCUCUACAAGUGAGGUGUGAAAGCCCUCGGCUCAACCGAGGAACUGCGCUUCAAACUGUAGAACUAGAGGGAGAUAGAGGUGAGCAGAACUGAUGGUGGAGCGGUGAAAUGCGUUGA
rnacentral:rRNA from 1 species